GAGUUUGAUCCUGGCUCAGAACGAACGCUGGCGGCGUGCCUAACACAUGCAAGUCGAACGUGAUCCAGAGCUUGCUCUGGUGAAAGUGGCGCACGGGUGAGUAACGCGUGGAUAACCUACCCUGGUAUCCGGGAUAACAUUCCGAAAGGGGUGCUAAUACCGGAUAAGCCCACGGGCUCUUUGGAGCUUGCGGGAAAAGGUGGCCUCUAUUUAUAAGCUACUGUAUCAGGAUGGGUCCGCGUACCAUUAGCUAGUUGGCGGUGUAACGGACCACCAAGGCGACGAUGGUUAGCUGGUCUGAGAGGAUGAUCAGCCACACUGGAACUGAGACACGAUCCAGACUCCUACGGGAGGCAGCAGUGGGGAAUUUUGCGCAAUGGGGGAAACCCUGACGCAGCAACGCCGCGUGAGUGAUGAAGGCCUUUGGGUCGUAAAGCUCUGUCAGAGGGGAAGAAAUGAUAUAGUGCUAAUACCACUUUAUCUUGACGGUACCCUCAAAGGAAGCACCGGCUAACUCCGUGCCAGCAGCCGCGGUAAUAC
rnacentral:rRNA from 1 species